rnacentral:sRNA from 1 species
ACCUGUCGUGAGCACUGAGCGCGGUGUUCACGGCAACAGACAGAGACUGUGCCCCGGGAAGAUCUGGGCACUUCAGGGCGUU